UACAGAGGUGGCAAGCGUUGUUCGGAAUUACUGGGCGUAAAGCGCGCGUAGGCGGAUCUGCAAGUCGGGGGUGAAAUCCCGAGGCUCAACCUCGGAACUGCCUUCGAUACUGCGGGUCUCGAGUCCGGGAGAGGUGAGUGGAAUUCCUAGUGUAGAGGUGAAAUUCGUAGAUAUUAGGAAGAACACCAGUGGCGAAGGCGGCUCACUGGCCCGGUACUGACGCUGAGGCGCGAAAGCGUGGGGAGCAAACAGG
rnacentral:rRNA from 1 species